rnacentral:rRNA from 1 species
GACGAACGCUGGCGGCGUGCUUAACACAUGCAAGUCGAACGGAAAGGCCCUGCUUUUGUGGGGUGCUCGAGUGGCGAACGGGUGAGUAACACGUGAGUAACCUGCCCUUGACUUUGGGAUAACUUCAGGAAACUGGGGCUAAUACCGGAUAGGAGCUCCUGCUGCAUGGUGGGGGUUGGAAAGUUUCGGCGGUUGGGGAUGGACUCGCGGCUUAUCAGCUUGUUGGUGGGGUAGUGGCUUACCAAGGCUUUGACGGGUAGCCGGCCUGAGAGGGUGACCGGCCACAUGGGGACUGAGAUACGGCCCAGACUCCUACGGGAGGCAGCAGGGGGGAGUAUGGCGCAAUGGGCGGAAGCCUGAUGCAGCAACGCCGCGUGCGGGAUGACGGCCUACGGGUGGUAAACCGCUUUCGCCGGUGACGAAGCGUGAGUGACGGUAAUGGGUAAAGAAGCACCGGCUAACUACGUG